rnacentral:rRNA from 1 species
UACGUAGGGUGCAAGCGUUGUCCGGAAUUAUUGGGCGUAAAGAGCGUGUAGGCGGCCCGACCAGUCCGCUGUGAAAGUCCAGGGCUCAACCCUGGAAUGCCGGUGGAUACUGUCGGGCUAGGGUCCGGAAUGGGCGAGUGGAAUUCCUGGUGUAGCGGUGAAAUGCGCAGAUAUCAGGAGGAACACCAAUGGCGAAGGCAGCUCGCUGGGACGUGACUGACGCUGAGACGCGAAAGCGUGGGGAGCAAACAGG